GAUGAACGCUGGCGGCGUGCCUAAUACAUGCAAGUCGAGCGAACAGACGAGGAGCUUGCUCCUCUGACGUUAGCGGCGGACGGGUGAGUAACACGUGGAUAACCUACCUAUAAGGCUGGGAUAACUUCGGGAAACCGGAGCUAAUACCGGAUAAUAUAUUGAACCGCAUGGUUCAAUAGUGAAAGACGGUUUUGCUGUCACUUAUAGAUGGAUCCGCGCCGCAUUAGCUAGUUGGUAAGGUAACGGCUUACCAAGGCAACGAUGCGUAGCCGACCUGAGAGGGUGAUCGGCCAUACUGGAACUGAGACACGGUCCAGACUCCUACGGGAGGCAGCAGUAGGGAAUCUUCCGCAAUGGGCGAAAGCUUGACGGAGCAACGCCGCGUGAGUGAUGAAGGUCUUCGGAUCGUAAAACUCUGUUAUUAGGGAAGAACAAAUGUGUAAGUAACUAUGCACGUCUUGACGGUACCUAAUCAGAAAGCCACGGCUAACUACGUG
rnacentral:rRNA from 1 species